ensembl:lncRNA
CACUCCACUGUGACUUACCCCCUCGCCCAGUGCAGCAGGCACACGCAAAGACAGCACAGAAUCCUUCUGAAACUGUGCUCCCCCCUGCCAGUGGGUCGACGGAGUCGUCUACAUGCUGCUAAUUUGACAAUUUGUGAGUACCAACAACAGCCUUGUAUGCUGCUCAGCUUCAUCGUCACAUGUUUGUGUUCAGAACCGUUGAUCUGUAGGAGUAGCUUUAGAGGGAGGCCCGAGGGGAUCGGCUUUAUCGGCUUUUACAAAAAAUGAAACGCGCUUGAAUAGCAGAUUAAGCAGAUCACAACUCGCUAACUGAAGUUUUGCUUGUCGUUAAAAAACAAACCGAGCUGCUUGUGAUACUUUUAAACCAUAAGAUCUUCAUAGUUUUGUUCAUCAGACUUAAUGAGAUGUGAUGUUAACCUGUUAUUUGUGUUAUUGUGUUUAAAGAAGGAAUUAGUUUAAAACAAGUAGUAACAAUAGUAACAAACGAGUGAUGGCUAUAUUGCAUUUACUGGGUUCAGGACGUCAGUGAACUGUUUUAUGAGCUGUAAACCCGGAAAAAACACGUGUCAAUCCCUCGUCAGGGUAGAGUUAGGGUAUGUCUUUAGGGGUAAGGGUAUGUCUAUUGUGUCAGGGUAUGUCUAUAGGGUCAGGGUAUGCCUACAGGGUCAGGGUAUGUCUAUAGGGUCAGGGUAUGCCUACAGGGUCAGGGUAUGUCUAUAGGGUCAGGGUAUGUCUACAGGGUUAUGCCUGGUAUUCUCAGAGAGAGUUUUGCUGGCUUUGUCAUCGCCCCGCAGGCCCGUUGGAAGUUAAUAGACGACUUGGAACGGAUUGUCUAACCGGUUAAGUUAAUGUUUAGCGGUAAUGACUGUUGUUUGGGAGUUACGGUUACGGCCCGCAGAAGCUUGUAUACUGUACACUAAUAAAUCAAAACAAGCACGACGGUGUCUCGUAAAUGUGCUUAGCAAGGGCCGCGAGGGACAGAAUUAUAAAGUCUGAAUUUGAAAUCUAUAAUCCUUUUCUUCCAAAUUAAAAUGAAAAGAACAUAUUCUUGAAUGAAGAUAGGAAAGUCCUCCAUAUCGUAAUUCUAACAUGUAAAUGUGCUUAAUGAAAAGAUAUUUUGUCAUAAUCAAAACAAUUCUUAAACUAUAGAUUUUCAACAAUUACAAAGAGGUGUAGUAACUCAGUUAUCCAGCAGGGGUCCUCAAGCACCGUCUAAUCCAGGUGCCAUCCAUGGCGAUCUGUUACUGAUUUGUUAAGGAGGGAAAAAUGAGAGGCGAGUGGCAGAGGUGUGAGAACCUGAGAGACCAAGAAAAAGCCUUUUGUGUUGUUGAUUUGGUUGCAAAAUAGAUAUCUCAAGUUUAAGUCUCAAGCUGGAUCUCAGUCAAGCUUGUAAAAAGUUGUUCGCACAGUAUCAAAUAAUCCAUCCAUCCAUCGUCAAACCGCUUAUCCUGCACACAGGGUCGCGGGGGGGGGGCUGGAGUCCAUCCCAGCCAACUUCGGGCGAUAGACAGGGUACACCCUGGAUUGGUCGACAGCCAAUCGCAGGGCUACACAGAGACGUACAACCAUUCACACUCACAUUCACACAUCAUCAAAUAAUCCCAAAUUUCAAGCAUGGGAUUCUAAGCAUAAAUGUCGAUGGCAGAGCAGCAGCCCGGCAGAUAGAACCCUUUUCAACACAUGCCAAAGAAGCAGGGUGGAAGAGAGGCAGGAUAAAGAAAGAAGAUGGACCGGUUUGUAAGAAUGACUGGUAUGGGGACAUGGACAAGCAGACGUAAGCUAAAGACCAGGCACGAGAGAAUACUCUGUCUCUGAUCUUCAGUCCUGACUAGUGAUUUAACAAGGCGCAUGUAAAUUAAUUGAGUUGAACACGUAACGGACAGAGAAAGGAGGAGAAGACGUACAAGAAAUAACUUUGGUCAUCCCAGCUGCUUGACUAUGGGGAACGCUGGUAAGAGUCUCACUCAUGUUGACAGUAACUGUGAAGCAACAAAAGACUUCUUUACGUAGUGAUCCAGCUGGACUUUUCCAUUUUUACUUUUACAACACUGCGGCCCUUUAAAUAGAGCUAAAUAUACGGGGCUGCUUUGGAGUCAUUGUCUUUUAAGGUUUGGUUCACACAUCACAUGUUUCCUUUUUAAUGUGUAAGCUGUAACUUAUGUUGAAAGUGUCUUUUAAACACGCACAUGAUUUACAUAUAUAUUAUUGUAUACUAUACACUGCAUGUAUAUAUAAUCUUGCUUGAAUGUUGCUAGUGAAGAGUUCUCUAUCCGAUACUGCUGAAUAAUGGACCAGAAGUCUUCGUUGUUUACAUCAAGUACCAGCUGUUUUUUUGUGUCCCUUAAAGUCCUUCAGAACUCCUUAUUCCUCUCAUACUUUGAGAGGCGAAUGAAGGCAGAUGCAAGAGAACGAUUUCCAAAUCUAAUUUCAUCAGAUUGAAUAUUCACUCACAACGAACAUUUAUUGAUCCAAUUAAGGAAUAUAACCUUAUAACACCUCAAAAAUCAUUUUUGCCCCUCGGUUGGUCUCUACAUUGUUCUCUCUGUGUUAAAUCUAUGAUUCUAAUCUAAUUACCUCUUUGUAUUUGAAGGGAGCGGCGUGAACUCGACGGCAGUCGGUGUUGUUGUUGGCUUUGGGGUUUUGGCUAUUCUCUUCUCCAUUGGUGUUUUUCAAUACUGGGGAAAGUAUGAAUGCAAAAAAUGCUGCAAGAAAAAGGGUGAGAAGAAUUUCAGUGAUUCAGUUUUUUCCUCCAGAGUUAUUGAGCCACAGGGAUGUGUAUGGUUUUACGAACCCAGG